rnacentral:lncRNA from 1 species
AUUCAUCUCGAUAUGCAAGAUUAAAGACAUGUUUAAUCUAACCUGAUAAGAAUAAUGUUAUUAUUAAUUUUUUUGAACACUAUCAAAAACAUCCAACUUGAUUUUUGAUGGUGGAUAAAUUUUCUGACCGUGAGGUUAGAAAUUGUAAGUUCAGUGAUUUAGAGAUGACAGAUACUUCUACUAUUCUCACAGUAGUUAUGGAUUUAUCUCGACAUACAAGAUAUAGAAGACGGCUAAUAUUGUCAAAGAAAAGUAAUAGAGAUCUUAAUAUUAUUGGAACAG